rfam:Pediculus humanus corporis strain TSDA 1103172085537, whole genome shotgun sequence.
AAAACGGCCCUUUUCAGGGCCAAAAAUAUUACCAUGUAAUAGAUG